AAAAGUUACUGUGUGCGUGAACUAUGGAGGAACAAGUUGACCAGCUGAAUGAAACUAAAAACAAACAUAAAUUAUGGUAAAGGCUUCUCUUUCACCGUCAUAGCUCUUGAAAUAGUCAAAGCUUCACGGUCAACGUAAUGGGUCCCUCGAUCCACAGCUUGAUCUCCGUUUCCAUUCUCAUUAUUGUCUGUGACGCCAUUGAUGACGCUAGUUUCCAUCCACCUCUCCACACGUG
rnacentral:misc_RNA from 1 species